UACGGGGGGGGCAAGCGUUGUUCGGAAUUACUGGGCGUAAAGGGCUCGUAGGUGGCCAACUAAGUCAGACGUGAAAUCCCUCGGCUUAACCGGGGAACUGCGUCUGAUACUGGAUGGCUUGAGUUUGGGAGAGGGACGCGGAAUUCCAGGUGUAGCGGUGAAAUGCGUAGAUAUCAGGAGGAACACCAGCGGCGAAGGCGGCGCUCUGGGCCGGUACUGACGCUGAGGAGCGAAAGCGUGGGGAGCAAACAGG
rnacentral:rRNA from 1 species